rnacentral:rRNA from 1 species
UACGAAGGGGGCUAGCGUUGUUCGGAAUUACUGGGCGUAAAGGGCGCGUAGGCGGUGUGUCAAGUCAGGCGUGAAAGCCCCGGGCUCAACCUGGGAACCGCGCUUGAGACUGGCACGCUAGAGUUCGGGAGAGGAUGGUGGAAUUCCCAGUGUAGAGGUGAAAUUCGUAGAUAUUGGGAAGAACACCGAUGGCGAAGGCAGCCAUCUGGACCGACACUGACGCUGAGGCGCGAAAGCGUGGGGAGCAAACAGU